rnacentral:lncRNA from 1 species
GCCACCCUCUGAGGGUGCCUCAGCGGGUCCUCCCACCUGCUCACGUUGGCUGAUUCGGUGGCGCAAAUUCCCAGCACCCUUCACGGCCCCCACGUGCUGCAUGCGCUUUGUCUCUUUGGUCCUUACAAUACCGCAUGGGAGAUACCCAGGGGCGCUGCUGCUGGCAGGAGAGGAGCUGAGCUGGUGACACCUGAGACCCUUGGCAAGGCCGAGGGUUCUUGGGCCUAGACGCUGCUCUGCACACCACCCUCUCUCCUCCCCAGGCCCUCUCUUUCUCCAGGUCUUCCAAGAGACAGGGCCCUGCAAAGCGAGAGUCAGGUGUAUCCAGGUGGGAGGGAGGGCCCCGGAGAUUCUUCUGAAAGCCGAGAAACAGCUUCGUGGGAAAACAAGCCUGGUUUCAGGACCUCGGAGCCCCUAAGUCUCUUCGGGACCCUCUGGGCCCUGAGUCCGUGGUGGAAGCCCAGACCGGUUUCCCUGGUGGGGCCCAGGAGGCAGCAGGCCCUGUGAAGUCCCCCAGGUCUGGUGCCUUCCUGUCUGUGCCUCAGGCCUGCUGUGCUUCGCAGGGGGUCUUCCUGCUGCCAUUUUGAGUGUGUGCAGUGACAGCCCGCAUUGCCGUCCCACCCGGAGCCCCGUCACGUCUGCCCCACUGCCUCACAGAGCACCUGUCCACGUGCCACCCUCCUCGAGCUGAUUGUGGGUGUCCAGGAGCAGGGCUAGGCCCUCACUUGCUGUCCUCAUCUGCGGCAGCCUCCCUUUGAGUUGAAGGAAGGGGUUGCUAAGUGGCUAGGGCCACAAAGCAAGGCUUCUUGGGAGGCGACGGCGGGCGGUGCCCAGCCUCCUCGGCUCUAGGCACUGGGGAGCUGGCAGGCUCGUCUCACGCAGGUGCCGACGUCUGGUCUGUGCAGAUUCCUGACUGUUCUUUGGCCAGUUUCUGUCCAACACCACGGACUCCGCUCACUCAGACUGAGGUUCAAGCAGCACCAGCACCUCCUGACCCUGGGGGGUGUGAAUGUGGA